rnacentral:lncRNA from 1 species
AGACUGGCUGAGUCUUCCGGCCAUCUUUCUCCCGUGCUGGGUGCUUCCUGCCCUCAAACAUUGGACUCCAAGUUCUUCAGCUUUUGGACUCUUGGAUUUACACCAGUGGUUCGCCAGGGGCUCUAGGGCCUUCAGCCACAGACUGAAGGCUGCCCUGUCGGCUUCCCUAUUUUUGAGGUUUUGGGACUUGGACUGGCUUCCUUGCUCCUCAGCUUGCAGAUAGCCUACUGUGGGACUUCACCUUGUGAUCGUGUGAGUCAAUACUCCUUAAUAAACUCCCUUUCAUAUAUACAUCUAUCCUAUUAGUUCUGUCCUUCUAGGGAACCCUGACUAAUACAGUCGGUAAACCAUGGGCCUCAGAGCCAGUGUCUGGUCCUGCUCUAUGCCUAGGCUCCACUGAGUGAAGCCAACUCUGGCCCAGGAUGGGUUCUGCUAGUUGGCCGAGUCCUCAACAAAAUGUCUUGGAAUGCACUUCUUUCUCCUGACGGUGGAGAAAUGGCCAGCCACCUUUGGUUCAUGCCGAUAUUUCAGAUUCUGCACUUCCCCACAAAAAUGGCUUCUUCUCCCAUAAGCCCAGUCCCUGCUAGCUGUAUCACCAACCUCUCAGGUACUCAGGACCUGCCCACUGCUUCCUUUUUUGCUCCUCCCUUUCCUCUGAGAGCACGCAGGCCCACACAGAGCUAGUCAGUUGCUUACUUGCUGCUGCAGCUGCAUACGCUCAGGACUCUUGUGUGCAGGUUAUAGAAAACUCAAUUCAAUUUCAUAGUCCCAGGUACCUGAAAUGGCUAGGGUGUGUCUGAUUCAGGGGCUCCAAUCAUGGCCUCAGGACUUGGUCUCACUUCUCUAUCUCUGACUCUGUUUUUGCCUGUGUGACUUCAUUCUGCCACUUUGGGCCCUAGAAGGUCCAGAUUCACUUCCUGCCGGAAGUGUCCCUUUAGAGACAAGAUCUCACUCUGUAGCCCAGGCUGGAGUGCAAUGGCACGAUCACGGCUUACUGUAGCAUUGGAGUCCUGGGCUCAAGCAAUCCUCCCACCUCAGCCUGCUGUGUAUCUGGGACUACAGAUACUAAUUUUUUAUCUGUAGUGCCAGACUACAGAUAAAACUGUAGUCUAACUAAUUUUUUUAUUUUUCUUUUCUAGAGACAGGGUCUGGCUAUGUUACUCAGGCUGGUUUCAAACUUCUGGCCUCAAGCAAUCCUCCCGCCUCGGCCUUCAAAAGUGUUGGGACUAUAGGCCCAGCCUCACCUCCCCAUUUUAACAAUCUACUACACAGCUCUGAAUCUUUCAACUUCCACCAAAAAAAAACAAAACAAAACACUUGCAUGGUUCCCUAUUGUCUAGGCCACAAAAUCCAAGAUCCUAGACCUGAAACUCAAAACCUCCAUGCUCUGACUCUCCUGUAGUCCAUGCUCUGACUCCAGCAUAAUUCUCCAGCCUCAUCACCUUCAGCUUUCCAUCACUCAUUUGCCUGACAAUUCAGCCAAUCAAGACUAGCUGCUGUUCUUUCAAUACACCUUACAUUUCCUCUACUUUAAGCCUUUCCCUCAUGCUGUGCCCUUCUUCUGGAAUGCUCACCAACUCCCACCUCCACUUCUCCAAGUCCCUGAAAUCAAGCCCAGCUGGAUGGCUACUACUCCAAGGAAGGCUCAUUUCUGCUGAAUGCACACCAGCUCCAAUCCUCCAAGGCAAAUACUCCUGCCCCUUCACCACCUGGUCCUCAGCCCUUUUCUCAUGGUGCAGUUCAUCUAUGAAAGAGACUGAGCCCCUAUGAGUGAGGGUGAUGUCAACACAACAGCAGGCACCCUUGGUAACCAAGUCAGCUUCCAUAUUGAUCAGGACUCUUUUGAUUGCAAGAAACCAAACUCGGAUCUUUAUAAAAGCAAAGGUAAUUGACUCAGUCAGAAGCACAUACAGCACGAGAGUUGUAGGCAUGGCUACACUUAAGCCAUCCCUUUAUCUGGCUUUCAUUAGAGCCUCGGCCGCGCCUCUUUUGUGGGAGAGACUUGAGGGAGCCGAGGCAGUUUCCCAGCCGCUGUGAUGUUGCUAAAGAUUAAAAAGGAGCUUUGAAGCUGCACCAGUUCUCUCUGUGCCCCCUCGGUACAGGACCUCAGAAAGACCCAAGCCAUCUGGCAAACCUGACAUAAAGACAAAAUAAAGUGAUUGAAACAGUC